GUGGAGAUCAGCAGCCCCAUUUUACAGACGAGGAAACUGUGGCUCAGAAAAUCCAAGUGUCUGGUUGAGUCUGGUAGUGGAAUGGGAUUUGGAGUCAGGGAGACCUGGCUUUGAAUGCCCAUCCUGUUUCUUUAUAGCUUUGUGCCUCAGGAAAUGCCAGUUCAACUCUGAUAUAUGAUUAUCUUGUCUGUAAACCAAGGUAAAGAAGAAAACUGUCUCCUCAAUUUGUUGGGACAAUUAAGUAUAUUUUUAUUUAAAAUACCUGGCAUAUAGUAGGUACCCAAUGAAUAAUGGUUAGUGUAAUUACAGGAAUAGUCACUGAGUUUAAUAUCACAUGUCAUUUCUUAUGGUUGUCAAGAGACCUGUGCUGAAAUAUAUUCUGAGCUCAUAUCUGGGAAAAAAUGCUGGUAUCGAUGAGCCACAUUUGCUUUGGCAUAGGAGGGCGAGUGGCUGCAUAUGUAUUUCCCAUGCUGGUUUACUAUUAUUGCCCAAGGUCAUACCAGGAGGGAUUUGAUUUGAGUUCUACUUUUAUCCAAAGCACCCACUCUUUCUACUAUAUCCAUUUUAGCCUUCCCUACUGUAAUUUCCUGGUUGUUUUAGUUUCUUAUGGUUUCUGUAACAUAUUACUACAAACAAGAUGGCUUAAAACAAUAGAAAUGUAUUCUCUUGUAGUUAUGGAGCCCUGAAGUCCAAAAUCAGUAUCACUAGGCUGAAGUCAAGAGCUUCCAAAGGCCCUAGGGGUGAAUCCAUUCCUCACUCUUCCAGCUUCUGCAGCUGCCAGCAUUCCUUGGCUUGUGGCUGCAGCACUCCCAUCUUUGCCUCUAUUGUCACAUGGCUUCCUCUGUGUGUGUCAUCCACCUCUUCCUCUCUCUUAGAAGGACACUUGAGAUUGCUUUUAGAGCCCAUCUGGAUAAUCUCUCCAUCUCAAAAUCUUUAAGUUAAUCAUAUCCUCAAAGAUCCUCUAUUUCCCUAUAAGGUAACAUUUAUAGGUUCCAGAGAUUAGGACCUGAUGUGUUUAGGGGGCUACUUUUCAGCCUUCCACACUAGGCUUUAUAUCCCUAUUCCGAAAAAACUUUUUAGCUGAGCAACUCAAUAGCCACUGAAAGGUUAUGUCUCAUCUUAGAAAGGUAAAUUAUAAGAAAUUCUGAAAUAGUGGGUCAGCCUGACUCUUGCUCUUUCUCAGAUUUUAGACCCCAGACUUAGUACCUGAGCUUUAGCCUUUUCUCUCAAGACCAAGUCCCAGUCAGGUAUUUCUGCUCACAUUUCUUUUCUUGUUUUCUUUUUCU
rnacentral:lncRNA from 10 species